rnacentral:rRNA from 1 species
GAUGAACGCUGGCGGCGUGCCUAAUACAUGCAAGUCGAGCGAGCAGACGAGGAGCUUGCUCCUCUGACGUUAGCGGCGGACGGGUGAGUAACACGUGGAUAACCUACCUAUAAGACUGGGAUAACUUCGGGAAACCGGAGCUAAUACCGGAUAAUAUAUUGAACCGCAUGGUUCAAUAGUGAAAGACGGUUUUGCUGUCACUUAUAGAUGGAUCCGCGCCGCAUUAGCUAGUUGGUAAGGUAACGGAUUACCAAGGCAACGAUGCGUAGCCGACCUGAGAGGGUGAUCGGCCACACUGGAACUGAGACACGGUCCAGACUCCUACGGGAGGCAGCAGUAGGGAAUCUUCCGCAAUGGGCGAAAGCCUAACGGAGCAACGCCGCGUGAGGGAUGAAGGUCUUCGGAUCGUAAAACUCUGUUAUUAGGGAAGAACAAAUGUGUAAGUAACUAUGCACGUCUUGACGGUACCUAAUCAGAAAGCCACGGCUAACUACGUG